rnacentral:rRNA from 1 species
GUGAGGAAUAUUGGUCAAUGGGCGCAAGCCUGAACCAGCCAUCCCGCGUGCAGGAAGACGGCGCUAUGCGUUGUAAACUGCUUUUCCAGGGAGAGAAACUUGCGCACGUGUUGCGCAAUUGACGGUACCCUGGGAAUAAGCAUCGGCUAACUCCGUGCCAGCAGCCGCGGUAAUACGGAGGAUGCGAGCGUUAUCCGGAUUCAUUGGGUUUAAAGGGUGCGUAGGCGGACUAUUAAGUCAGUGGUGAAAUCCUGCAGCUUAACUGCAGAACUGCCAUUGAUACUGAUAGCCUUGAGUUUGGUUAAGGUAGGCGGAAUGUGUAAUGUAGCGGUGAAAUGCUUAGAUAUUACACAGAACACCAAUUGCGUAGGCAGCUUACUGAGCCGACACUGACGCUGAGGCACGAAAGCGUGGGGAUCGAACAGGAUUAGAAACCCGGGUAGUC